rnacentral:misc_RNA from 1 species
CCUCUCUCUCUCUCUCUCUCCACCAUUUUGCUGCAAUACACAAAGAAUUUCAUCCAGUCACUGUUUCAUGCAUAAAUUUAACUGAUUUAAGUUCAUGUAGUCUCUCAAGCCUCUCAUUUUAGAAUCGGGGCUUUGUCUUCCAACUUUCAUUGGAUAUGUAAUCCCUGUAGUGACGGCCUCGAUUCUUCCACUGAUUCCUUGCUUGCCAAAAUCUCCACUAGUCUCAACUCUUCCAUCUCUGUAGUGGCAGCCUCAAGUCCUUGUGGGCAUGCAUAACACUCCCUAUCACAGGCCUCCACAAGGUAAGUCUAAUUCAUUGGAUCGGUCUUCAUGGUGAUAUCAGUGAAGCAAAUACUACAAGUAAAAUCUAAGCACUUUUCUUUCUCCCAUGAAUUUCAAUCAUACAACACAAUAAACCAAAACCAAAAGGAAAAUCAGAUUGACAAGCAAAUAUGAAAUGUGUUUCUGAUACAACCCUUCUUACACACCAGGAUGAACAUACAAAAUCCCACUACAAAUAGGAAUAGUAAUCCUAUUCCUAUUCCUAUACAAGUACCUACUUAUGUUUCAACAUUGAAUUCCAGUGGACAAUGUAACAAAACUACCUUAGAAUAGUUCUAAUUAAUAUUGGAACGGUACAGAGGCUCACAUGCAUUAAUAAUUAACUAAAAUGGCUGUCGCCAUCUUUCUAUUCCAUCCAAGUGAAACUCACAAUGUUAUCACAAUCCCACACAAAUAUAUAAUCCUCAGCAUCAACUUCAUAAUAACUAAAAUAACAGUUCUGCAUCUCAUAUAAAAGGGGAUAUGAAGAUCCAGCUGCUGUACAUGCUAAGGUAGAAGCAAUUGCUUCGCCUUCUUUAACCAAAUAUUGUAGAUGUCAUCCGAGAAAAGAACGAAAUGUAUCUGUCAACAAUAAUUGUGAGUAAAGGCCUAAGUUGUAAACUACAGGAUCUCAUGGACCAGCAUGAUGGAGAAUGUAUAUGAUUGAUUUGCAACUUAAAAGGAGCAAGGAAUGAGUUUUAUAGAAGCUUAAAGGUCCUUUGAUUAUAUAGAAAGGAAAAGCACAUGAAUUUUUCCACCUUAAAAGUUAUUUCAUUGCAAAAAUUAUGUGAAGAACCAUAUAUAAGAGGUCUACAAAGAUAAGAUGACCAUUUAUAUUUUUGUUUCGCCACAGGAGCACAUUUGGUAAGAAAGUGGGGAAAAGAAAACAAUGACAAUACUGCAAUGGUUAGGCAAUGCAAACAUGAAACUUAUGGAAUAAAUGCCAUGACCCAUUUAAAAAGUGAAAUGAUUUAGCGUCCACAUUAUGAAGCUAAAAAACAAAUAAUAUGAUACCUCUUUCAAGUCAUCUGCAAAUUCUUUGACAGUGGAUGUAGCCACUGCAGCAGCUUCCUCAUAAGGAUAUCUGAAAUAAUAGAUAAAUGAAAAGAAAGGAAUGAUUUGUGAGAGAUAAUGAAUUUGCUGAAUAGAUUUUUCAGACGCCAAACCAGGUGAAAUCUAAUUCUGGGCCCUCAUCCAAUGAUCCAGUAAAUAAUAGUUUGAGCUCAUGUCCUCAUUGAAGGCUAUUUUGCAAUCAUUACUCAUAAUAAUUCUUUCUCCAAUGAAAUAAUACUCACGAGGAAUAGAUAACUAGAACAAAAUCAAAUGCAUUAGGAAAGAUAAGUUUUUUCAUUUAUAUUGGAGUUAUGCAAUGAGUUCAAUCCAUAAAUUAUAUCAGGAUGGGAAGAGAGAAAGUGAUUUGGAGUGGGAAGAAACAGAGAUUAGGGAGGGGGAAACUCAGUUCUCCCUUUCAACUUACCCAUAAACACCACAAGAUAUAGCA